UACGAAGGGGGCUAGCGUUGUUCGGAAUCACUUGGCGUAAAGCGCACGCAGGCGGAUCGUUAAGUCAGGGGUGAAAUGCCGAGGCUCAACCUCGGAACUGCCUUUGAUACUGGCGAUCUUAGAGUCCGGGAGAGGUGAGUGGAACUCCGAGUGUAGAGGUGAAAUUCGUAGAUAUUCGGAGGAACACCAGUGGCGAAGGCGGCUCACUGGCUCGAUACUGACGCUGAGGUGCGAAAGCGUGGGGAGCAAACAGG
rnacentral:rRNA from 1 species